ACAUGCAAGUCGAGCGAGCUUGCCUAGAUGAUUUUAGUGCUUGCACUAAAUGAAACUAGAUACAAGCGAGCGGCGGACGGGUGAGUAACACGUGGGUAACCUGCCCAAGAGACUGGGAUAACACCUGGAAACAGAUGCUAAUACCGGAUAACAACACUAGACGCAUGUCUAGAGUUUGAAAGAUGGUUCUGCUAUCACUCUUGGAUGGACCUGCGGUGCAUUAGCUAGUUGGUAAGGUAACGGCUUACCAAGGCAAUGAUGCAUAGCCGAGUUGAGAGACUGAUCGGCCACAUUGGGACUGAGACACGGCCCAAACUCCUACGGGAGGCAGCAGUAGGGAAUCUUCCACAAUGGACGAAAGUCUAAUGGAGCAACGCCGCGUGAGUGAAGAAGGGUUUCGGCUCGUAAAGCUCUGUUGGUAGUGAAGAAAGAUAGAGGUAGUAACUGGCCUUUAUUUGACGGUAAUUACUUAGAAAGUCACGGCUAACUACGUG
rnacentral:rRNA from 1 species